AGAAGCACCAUGGUGAUUGGGCAGUGGGGAUUCCAUAUGCAGAUAGGGAGGAGGUGCCUGUGGCACUGUGGUGAUUGGGCAGUGGGGAGUCCAUAUACAGAUAAGGAGGAGGAGCCUGUGAUGGUUAAAGUCAGUUGGAAUGCAACUGUUACUGGUCGGAAGAUGUUCUUGAUUGUAGAGGAGAGGAAUCUCUCUCUAUAUAAAAGGAUAGCAGGCAGGGGUCUGCAAAAAGACGGGUUGUGAGGGAGGAAAGAGCACCUUCAGGAGAAGGAGGCUGCCGUUGUGUGAAUUAGAUGAGGAAACAAGAUGAACAAGAGCUGUUAACUCAGGGAGGGAGAGAGAGAGAUAGAACAUGAAGUGGGGGUGGGAAGAGUGGGGAAGAGCGAAAGAGAGAAAAAGAAGGGAGGGGGAAGAGAGACAGAAGGAAGGGUAAGGGACGGGCCCGAGCCUGUCAGCAGCCUGAGGGGAAUGAGCAGCCAUGGCAGCGCUGGCAGCAAGAAAGGGCCCAGUCAACCACUGCUGCUGUUUGGGGCUACCGAGGUCAUUGUCGGGAAGGUAGGCAGGCAGGCAAUGGACAGGCCCGGGCCUGUCAGUGGCCUAAGGGGAAUGAGUGGCCAUGGUGGUAGCAGCAGCAAGGAAUGGCCAGGUCAACCACUGCUGCUGCUCCUGGGGGAAGGAGCAGGGCUCGGGUGAGGAGGUCUCUGGGGAUAGGGGGCUGCAGCUUGGUCAAUAGGCGGCAGCAAUGCUGUAGCCACGACCAAGAAGGGUCAGGGGGAUGGAAGCAACGGGAUGGAGGAGGAGAAGGAGUGCAGCUCAGGUGCGGGUGGGGAGAUCUCUGAGGUGAGGGGAGCAAUCAAGUACUAACGUGCAGAUGCUCUAGAGUGCGCAAGAGUUCCAGCAUUGAAGUGAAGAGAAAUAAUGGUGGUGGCCAGGAGGCAGAGGUGGAGGGCCAGUUGGGGUGGCCUCUCCUUCUCACAACUGCCACUACAGAGCGGCCAGAGACCAUCUUGCUCCGAGGGCAGAAGAGAAGAAAGAAGUGAGCCCACUGCGUAACAAUCUAAACAUGUGGCUUAAUGUAUUCUUUAUUUAAGCUUUCUUGUUUCUAUGGGAGGUUCACCUGAAAAAAGUAUAUAAAUGCCAAACAUACAAAAUGUGUGUUAAUAAAACUGUUCUUGACAAAUAUUCUUUGGAUCUAGGAACCAGGCCAAAGAUUUAGGAGCCAGACAAUGAACACACUUGACAGAAUUACUGAAUUUAGUCUAGAGGGCCAAAAUUGGAUAAACUACAAACAGACUAACCUCAAAAACGUGGAGCGUCUUCCACAACCCAGGGGUGACAACUAAGGUGGCUUGAUCUCAUGUCACCACCAAAAGACGGACCCCUCCUGAUGAUCUUGAUGAGAAAGGCACUCUCUCAGGGCUGCAGAAAUCCACUAGUCUACUAGUCUGAUGAGUGAAAAAUGAUGCCCGAUGAGUGAAAAAAAGUCCAGAUGAGCAAUGUACCAACACAGCUCAACAAUUUUGUCUGGCUGAUAAACUGAGCCAACAUUUCUUCACCCCUGCUUAUUAAUAAUGUAUAGAUUUUAGGUUUUGUUUUAUUGAUUUAAAAAUAACUCACUUCACCAAC